AGAGUUUGAUCCUGGCUCAGGAUGAACGCUAGCUACAGGCUUAACACAUGCAAGUCGAGGGGCAGCAUGUUGGUUGCUUGCAACCAACGAUGGCGACCGGCGCACGGGUGAGUAACGCGUAUCCAACCUACCCUUGUCCAUCGGAUAACCCGUCGAAAGGCGGCCUAACACGAUAUGCGGUUCACAGCAGGCAUCUAACGUGAACGAAAUGUGAAGGAGAAGGAUGGGGAUGCGUCUGAUUAGCUUGGUUGGGCGGGGUAACGGCCCACCAAGGCUACGAUCAGUAGGGGUUCUGAGAGGAAGGUCCCCCANAUUGGAACUGAGACACGGUCCAAACUCCGUACGGGAGCA
rnacentral:rRNA from 1 species